GCACUACAGUCGGCGCUCGGCACCAGCAACCCGGUAGUAGAAGAACUUCAACUGUUCCACCUCAGUGUGUUUCUGAUCUCCGUUGGGAGUGGAGUACGUCUGCAAGUUUACGGUGUCCUUGGCUGAAAUCUGCUAUUUCACUUGAACUCGGGCGAAGAAGUGGUAUUUAAUUUACGUGUAAUCGUGUCAGCCAUCGGACGACAAACAUGAGCGUCACGAGAAGUUUGUUGCUCGUCCAGGAACUUGACAGUCAUCUCGUCAAGAGAUUUCUUCACCACGUUAGUAGAAAUGCGCCCCCAAGUGGGCGCCUCGUGGGUUCCGUGCGGGGCGCUAGGCUGCGGUCGCUGC
rnacentral:lncRNA from 1 species